GACAAUCGGGUCUGUGGUUGUAAGCCGAAGCCAGUCGCAGGCAAAGCGGUCCACGUAAGUCGUCCAAAGCGUCGAUGAGCAUGGUGCGGUUUAGAAGUAAGUCCGACCGGGAUUCCCCCGAGAGAGCAGCGUGAGGGCGCAGAAGCGCAGAGCAAAGCUCCUGUCGGCGAGUGUGGGGUCAAAAACCAGGUCAGCCGGUUAUC
rnacentral:ncRNA from 12 species